UCCCGUUUAGCUCAGUGGUAGAGCGCUUCACUAGUAACCGCAAUAUUCGGCCUAUGAAGAGGUCAGUCGUUCAAGUCGGCUAAUGGGAA